GACGAACGCUGGCGGCGUGCUUAACACAUGCAAGUCGAACGAGGCCCCUCCUUCGGGAGGGUGUCCUAGUGGCGAACGGGUGAGUAACACGUGGGCAACCUGCCCCCGGCUCUGGGAUAACCCCAAGAAAUUGGGGCUAAUACCGGAUAUGACCGCUGACCGCAUGGUCUGGUGGUGGAAAGAUUUAUCGGCUGGGGAUGGGCCCGCGGCCUAUCAGCUUGUUGGGGGGGUAGUGGCCUACCAAGGCGACGACGGGUAGCCGGCCUGGGAGGGUGACCGGCCACACGGGGACUGAGACACGGCCCAGACUCCUACGGGAGGCAGCAGUGGGGAAUAUUGCGCAAUGGGCGGAAGCCUGACGCAGCGACGCCGCGUGAGGGAUGACGGCCUUCGGGUUGUAAACCUCUUUCAGCAGGGACGAAGCGCAAGUGACGGUACCUGCAGAAGAAGCACCGGCCAACUACGUGCCAGCCGCCGCCGUAACAC
rnacentral:rRNA from 1 species